rnacentral:rRNA from 1 species
CAAGAUGAGAUUUCCCAGUAUGUAAGACCCCUUGAAGACGACGAGGUAGAUAGGUUGGAGGUGGAAGUGCAGCAAUGCAUGGAGCUGACCAAUACUAAUCGGUCGAGGGCUUAUCCAAAU